UCUUUUCUUCUUCUCCCUAGUACUAAGUGCAAAGAACUUAGUGCGAGUUUUCCCCACUAUCUAGAGGGAGGUGUACUCGCUUUCCUCUAAGUUCAAGGGCUCUUUAGAAUUCACAUAAAUAUUUAAAGCCUGACAUAUCUAAUCCUCAAAUGAGCCAAACACUGGCCAGUACAAAUGGUCCCCUCUUAUUUGUUUCCCUCCCCAAACCUCUAUGCAGUAGUGCACCAUUUUCACCUUGUCCUUUCCUUUCCUGGAGGGGAAGGCAUCCCAAUUUUUAAUCAUUAGUCCUAAUGGGCUAUCUGGAGGAAUUUGGGGAAGCUUUACAGGGGUUCCCCCACCCAUGGGACCAUAGGGCUUGCUUUUCCUCUGUCCCAUCUUCCGGAGUGCCUUCUUACAUACACCUCCACGCUUCCCUCAAUUCGUGGCCCAGCCCGUCGCCGGGUGUGGGAAACGCACUACUAUGAGGUCCACACUCACGUCGUCUCACAGAGACGUCUCACUCAUCACACUCCGGGAUCCCAACCCCAACCGAGCGGCCCCCGUUCCCUUUAAACGGAGCAACCUCAGUAACCCCGAAGGACCGCUGAAAGGAAACACUUCAUCACCCUGCCCUCCUGAAUUAUUUUUAUCCUCAUCUGUAUGUAAGCACAGCUGAAAAUAGGGAGCUCCAUGGAGGCUUGCUGUGAGCAUCAGAGCAGUCCUAAUUAUUCCAGGGAUUUCAAGCUACCUUUUAAAUUUUCUGGGAGUGAGUGAUAAGUUAAAGGGUCCAGUUCUGCCAUACUGGGUGACAAACUGGAAGACAGUAAACUGCAGAUUCAUGCAUAGUUUGAAUUAAUGACACUUAAUUUCAAGUACUGGAAGAAGAGGGGAUAGAAAUGGAAAUAAGCAUAGAUGUUAUACUGGUUUGAAGAUCAAAGCACCGAUAGGAAAGCCUGGAUGAGUUGACUUGUUGAAAAUGAGAAAGGAAAAGCAGAAGGAAAAAUAUUUAAGUGGGAUAUUCCUUAGAAGGAAGACUAAAUCAAACAGCUGCUUUUCUAUCAAUUCUCGUUUGGGAAAGGUAGUGCUGGAUACAGAUAUUUUCAAAAUGAGGAUCAAAAGAUCUGCUUUCAAUUCCCAGUUCUGCUUUUCAUUCCUUCUGAACUCAGGUGCUGUCAAUCCUGUUUUGCAGUGAAAGAGCUGAAGCACUGAUGCUCCCCAGGUCAUGGAUUCUAAAACAAUUCCAUUCCCAGUAUGAUUGAGAGGUGUUUCAAGAUGUGUCAAGGCAGCUGGUUCCUUGUGUAAUCGGGGGAACAUGUUGGUAACCUCUUCUAAUGGGAGCUGAAGAAUGACAGUGUGUGAAUUGGGUAGAAAUAUGUAUUCCCAAAGCCUAAUACCUCAAUUCAAAAUUACCUUCAAGGCAGCAUGAUGGAUUGCCAGGAGAAUUUAAUCUUUAAUGAGCUUUUGUCUCUGACUUCAUAAAACAUAAUGUGGCUUAACACUUUUUAUCAUCUUUGGUUAAAGCACAGCAACCCUUUGAAUGAAAUUAAUAUUCAAGAUAAGAAGCUAAGGUUUUUUAAUUCAAAGUGGUAAAGAAAAGCAGGGUUUUGUGGGGUUUUUUUGGUUGUUUUUUUUUUUUUAAUUUACUAGAGGUGUAAAACAAUACAUGAAGCAAAUUCUUUUUAAUGUGAUAAUUUUUAUUGCAUUGCACUUUCUCCAAAUUUGGUUCAAAUCAUCCCACAACUACCACCUUAAUUUCUAUGUCUCUUACAUUUGCUGUUGUUUCUACUAGAUUAUCAAUGUUACUUAAAAUCAAAUGAAUGUGACAUACUGACCUGCUAGAUUGGAAACUAUUUUCCCAUUUUUUUAAUUCUUUCAUUUUUAGAAUUUGUAGAAGGGACUUGUGCUUGUGGAGGGGAAAAAAUUGCCGUCAAAUAACCAGGCAAUGGAGUGUUUCCCAAAAUUUCUCUAAAAAUGCUAAUCAGCCAUUUUGAAAGGUCUCUGAGAGGAGAAAUAUUAAUCAGUGACUUGAAGGAUCAGUCAUACACUGCAAACUGCAAGUAGCUGUCAGAAUGUGAUGCACCACAGCAGUGGUAGGUAAGAGUGAGGGGCCUGUGUGUGGAAAUAUCCAACACAAAGAAAACUAGCAAAGCCCUACGUGCCACAUACUAUAUUCAGCAGCCCAGGACUCAGUGUAUCAGUGCAAUUAUGGGAAGAGGUAAUUUGACUUGCAGACAAAGAGAGAUUUUUUUUGAAAGCUUUGCUGCUUGCAGUAUGUUCAACAGCUUAUAUUAUAUUCAUAAGCUGCUGUUCUAAUCAGAGUACCUGGUCUGUGAGCUGUUUUGUUAUGCCUAAUGGGGAACUGUGACAGAAGGAGAGAGAAUUGUAAAGCUAACACAUUUUCAGUAAGUAUUGUAAUUAAAUUCUCCUCUAUCCCUGUCUUUGUGAUGAGGCCAUUUUGCUGAAAUACUUUUGCCCCUAAUAAAAUAUUAGGAUGUGCACAGCUUUUUUUCAUUAUAAUGUUCUUUAUUAUAAAGAUUAAAAAUAUUUGCAUUUUGAUGGAAAAGGAAACUCUCUUCUGAAGUCCAUUCCUUUCCUCUUCAAAUUUUAUUAAACUUUGUCUCCUAGGGAGUGGAUGACAGCCUGACUGUUGCUGAUGUGCUACAAGGCACAGAGGCAAUUUAGGUGGAGACCUUUUAGCCAUUCAUGCUUGGCAGGACCAGCCAUUUCAGACUAACAACAUUUAUCACUCUGAUGCUAAUUUGAAUACUCACAGAGAUAAUCUGGACUGAUCGGUAGCUUUUUUGAUAACAUCUGAUGGAUGUUAGUCUAAUGUUUUAUACCCACAAGCUGUUGAGUCAAUUAUUAUUUUAGAUGGGGAAAGAAGAAUGAGAGCAUGUAUGAACACAUGAAAAAUGGAGAGAGGGCUUUUUUGUGCGACCAUACUUUGUAAACAAAUAAAGGGAAAGAGGAUUAAUUUUUCUUCAUAUAAUUUCUCUCUCUAAGACAAUCUUCUUUCUGAUCCAGCUUUACCAAAAGCAGCUGGUGGAAGCAGACCAGAUAGGUACAUCUCAUUUGUAUAAAUAUAUCAGUGUGUGAAUGAUUGAGUCUUGCCUCAUUGCUGGACACCUCCAGAAAAACAGAGCACGUGCAGAAAAGGCCAGGAAAAGGGAAAUCACUGAGCUUUCGUGCCUCACUUGACACCUUCUGCACCAGUCUCCUGGGGCAGCCUGUCCACCUGAACAGGUACGGAAGGAAACCUGCCUCCAUUACCUUCUCCAAUGCCAUUUGCAAAGGGAGUGACAGUGGUAGAGAUUUUUUGCAACCUGGCAAACCUGUUGCAUCACAACUACAAUUUUUAAAGAUAUUUCAUGAAAUGUAGUAAAAUUUCCUAUUUGGAAACCUAAGGGAGCAAAUGAUUCUUCAUUAACAGUGACAGAGUAGAUGCUGGUGAAUUCAUUUACAGGAAUUACAAAGAGCUGCUCUCAUGUCAAAGAUCUCAGCCCCACUGACACCACCCCUUGAAUCAAGCUCAUUGUAAUCCUGCUGAUAAUCAAAUGACAGCAUUUACUUCAACGUUGCAUCUGCAUCUCACAGAAGCCCAGAGUUUAGAAGUGUACUGUUAAGUGCCUGCAAAGUGUAUGGUGAAGAUGGAUAAAACAGUUUGGUACAGAAGAAGACAUCUGUGUUUUUAUUGAUGAGAAUGAAUUUUAACUAAUGAAAAUUUCAGUGCUGAAUGUUGAGCAUAUUGAAGCAACUACUCCGUGUGAUUAGAUUUUAUGUAAUAAUGUAAAAAGAG